UCUGGUGGCCUAGUGGUUAGAGCGUCAGCCUCUGAUGCUGGGGGUCGCAGAUUCGAACAUGGCCGAGUCAU